GGGGAAUAUUGGACAAUGGGCGCAAGCCUGAUCCAGCCAUGCCGCGUGAGUGAUGAAGGCCCUAGGGUUGUAAAGCUCUUUUGUCCGGGACGAUAAUGACGGUACCGGAAGAAUAAGCCCCGGCUAACUUCGUGCCAGCAGCCGCGGUAAUACGAAGGGGGCUAGCGUUGCUCGGAAUCACUGGGCGUAAAGGGCGCGUAGGCGGACGUUUAAGUCAGGGGUGAAAUCCCGGGGCUCAACCUCGGAAUUGCCUUUGAUACUGGAUGUCUCGAGACCGGAAGAGGUAAGUGGAACUGCGAGUGUAGAGGUGAAAUUCGUAGAUAUUCGCAAGAACACCAGUGGCGAAGGCGGCUUACUGGUCCGGUUCUGACGCUGAGGCGCGAAAGCGUGGGGAGCAAAC
rnacentral:rRNA from 1 species